rnacentral:rRNA from 1 species
UGCCAGCCGCCGCGGUAAUACGGAGGGGGCUAGCGUUGUUCGGAAUUACUGGGCGUAAAGCGUGCGUAGGCGGAUCGACAAGUUGGGGGUGAAAUCCCGGGGCUUAACCCCGGAACUGCCCUCAAAACUAUCAGUCUAGAGUUCGAGAGAGGUGAGUGGAACUCCGAGUGUAGAGGUGAAAUUCGUAGAUAUUCGGAAGAACACCAGUGGCGAAGGCGGCUCACUGGCUCGAUACUGACGCUGAGGUGCGAAAGUGUGGGGAGCAAACAGGAUUAGAUA